UAACUCAAUUCAUUUUGGUGCAGACGCCUUCAAUCAACAUAUUCAGUUCUGCACGGUAUGAGGUGCACGCUGGCUUCAGCAAUUACCCUUAGUUUAAUGGAAAACAAGAUAAGUGGGGUAAUUAACGUUACUAACGUCUUUUUCCAUGCUAACGCUGGCUAGAUAACUAAUCUCUUCGGCGACCUGCCUCUUUGGAAUCAGUCCUUUAUUGAAGAGCAGUGAGGCCAUGUACGAGAACAACAAAGUGGCAAACAUGUUGGACAACAUGCAGAUUGUCUGAACAGGAGAGUGCUGGACAUAUACGCCAUCCUCAAGAGUGCAAUCUGGAAAGUGGAGAACAAUAGGCAACCCUAUCGAUGGCUCGCCACUCAGCACUCUCAAUAAUACUCCUACUAGCAAGCCCAUAAUGGAGCCGUAGCCAUUAGAGAUAUUAAAGAAGAGUACGCAGAUGAGUUGAGGGAACAUGAUGGUGUAGGUUAUGCCUGAGCCCAGGAUCCAGAAAACCAUAAUGCUGUUGUGUACGAAGGUGAGCGCUGUACCAGCCAAGCCCACCAACACCACAGUGGCCCGGAUUACCCACUGGAGCUCCCUUUCUGAAGCCUGCAGGGGGGAAAAUGCCUUUAAGCUGAAACCUGCAUAAAACCCACAAGCUUGCUCUUUUCCUCAGGUCUCCUCUUACCUUGGUCCUGAGGAUGUUUUUAUAGAUGUUGGAUGUGAAAAUGGAGGCGGCUGACAAUAAAGCUGAGUCCGUUGAUGACAUCACAGCAGCAGCUAUAGCUCCAAUACCGAUAAUGGAAAUGUAGUUGGGUGUGAGGUUCUGCAGAGCAAUGGGCAGAACCAGACCGGCAUCUCCACGCUCGUAUGGGGACGGGGAGCCAUACUCAGUCGUAUUCCA